GGGUUGUGAGGUUAAGCGACUAAGCGUACACGGUGGAUGCCCUGGCAGUCAGAGGCGAUGAAGGACGUGCUAAUCUGCGAUAAGCGUCGGUGAGGUGAUAUGAACCGUUAUAACCGGCGAUUUCCGAAUGGGGAAACCCAGUGUGUUUCGACACACUAUCAUUAACUGAAUCCAUAAGUUAAUGAGGCGAACCGGGGGAACUGAAACAUCUAAGUACCCCGAGGAAAAGAAAUCAACCGAGAUUCCCCCAGUAGCGGCGAGCGAACGGGGAGGAGCCCAGAGCCUGAAUCAGUGUGUGUGUUAGUGGAAGCGUCUGGAAAGGCGCGCGAUACAGGGUGACAGCCCCGUACACAAAAAUGCACACAUUGUGAGCUCGAUGAGUAGGGCGGGACACGUGGUAUCCUGUCUGAAUAUGGGGGGACCAUCCUCCAAGGCUAAAUACUCCUGACUGACCGAUAGUGAACCAGUACCGUGAGGGAAAGGCGAAAAGAACCCCGGCGAGGGGAGUGAAAAAGAACCUGAAACCGUGUACGUACAAGCAGUGGGAGCCUCUUAAUGGGGUGACUGCGUACCUUUUGUAUAAUGGGUCAGCGACUUAUAUUCUGUAGCAAGGUUAACCGAAUAGGGGAGCCGAAGGGAAACCGAGUCUUAACUGGGCG
rnacentral:rRNA from 1 species